rnacentral:tRNA from 1 species
GGUAGAUUGGGUGAGUGGUUUAAACCAGCUUCCUGCUAAGAAGUCGGUCGCUCAAAAGGCGGCCAGUGGGUUCAAAUCCCACAUCUACCUCCA